AGAAUCUGAGGUAAAUGGUUA
rnacentral:siRNA from 1 species